rnacentral:lncRNA from 1 species
ACAGCACUGAGUCUGUUUCCAGAAAGUGGGCAAGCAGGGCUGAGAAUUUGCCUUGGGCUACUUGCCUCCCAGGCGGAGGUGGUGAGCGGAGAUUGCGCCAUCGCACUCCAGCCUGGGCAACAAGAGCAAAACUCCAUCUCAAUAAUAAAAAAAAAGAUACUAAGGCUUUAGUUCUUCCCCGGCCUGUGGAGUCUGCUUGCUGGAUUCAUGCCCUUCCCCCCAAGCAGAGUUCUGGCCAGGAGGCUUCUGAACAGGUUCAAAUUGUUACAAAGAUCAGCUGGAGAGUUCCUUCUCCCUGUGGCGUUUUCCCUGCACCUCUGGCCACCCUCCGGAAGGAUCCCUAUGGUGCCAGGCAGGAAUGACCUGCUUGGGGACCCAGUGAGCUCACAGGGCCUUUCCCACUUCUUCCUCUACCUGUGUAUUUCACUUGGCUCUCUACAUCGACUCAGCUCCAGCCAUGUGAAGUGCCUCACUCCCUGUUCACCUUCCACCAUGAUUUUAAGUUCUGUGAGGCCUCCCUAGAAGCUGAUGCCACCAUGUUUCCUGUACAACCUGCAGAAUGGUGAUUAGAACACAGACACAUACAGAAGGAAGACCAUGUGAGGAUGCCAACAGAAGGUAGCCAUCUGCAAGCCAAGGAGAGAGGCCCCAGAAGAAACCAAACCCUGCUGACACCUUGAUCUUGGACUUCUAGCCCCUAGAACUUUGAGAAAAUUAUUUUCUGUUGUUAAAUACCAUCCAGUCUGUGAUAUUUUGUUAUGGUAGCCCUAGAAAUCUAGUCAUGGAAAAACAUAGUAAUACUUUUAUCCAGACAGGAAAUGCAGAAAGGACAUUUUCUUUUCUUGAAAUGUGUGUAUGUAUGUGCGUGUAGCCAGUAAUUAAAAUGAAAUAAAAAUACGAAGGCAAUGAAUUAAUAUUUUAACCACGUCAAUGUGUAUUUUGAGAAAAUAAAAAGGAUGGAGAGUUGCAUAAAGAAAUGCUUCCAAAAAGAGAAAA